rnacentral:rRNA from 1 species
AAAUUGAAGAGUUUGAUCAUGGCUCAGAUUGAACGCUGGCGGCAGGCCUAACACAUGCAAGUCGAGCGGUAGCACAGAGAGCUUGCUCUCGGGUGACGAGCGGCGGACGGGUGAGUAAUGUCUGGGAAACUGCCUGAUGGAGGGGGAUAACUACUGGAAACGGUAGCUAAUACCGCAUAAUGUCGCAAGACCAAAGUGGGGGACCUUCGGGCCUCAUGCCAUCAGAUGUGCCCAGAUGGGAUUAGCUAGUAGGUGGGGUAACGGCUCACCUAGGCGACGAUCCCUAGCUGGUCUGAGAGGAUGACCAGCCACACUGGAACUGAGACACGGUCCAGACUCCUACGGGAGGCAGCAGUGGGGAAUAUUGCACAAUGGGCGCAAGCCUGAUGCAGCCAUGCCGCGUGUGUGAAGAAGGCCUUCGGGUUGUAAAGCACUUUCAGCGGGGAGGAAGGCGUUGAGGUUAAUAACCUCAGCGAUUGACGUUACCCGCAGAAGAAGCACCGGCUAACUCCGUGCCAGCAGCCGCGGUAAUACGGAGGGUGCAAGCGUUAAUCGGAAUUACUGGGCGUAAAGCGCACGCAGGCGGUCUGUCAAGUCGGAUGUGAAAUCCCCGGGCUCAACCUGGGAACUGCAUUCGAAACUGGCAGGCUAGAGUCUUGUAGAGGGGGGUAGAAUUCCAGGUGUAGCGGUGAAAUGCGUAGAGAUCUGGAGGAAUACCGGUGGCGAAGGCGGCCCCCUGGACAAAGACUGACGCUCAGGUGCGAAAGCGUGGGGAGCAAACAGGAUUAGAUACCCUGGUAGUCCACGCCGUAAACGAUGUCGAUUUGGAGGUUGUGCCCUUGAGGCGUGGCUUCCGGAGCUAACGCGUUAAAUCGACCGCCUGGGGAGUACGGCCGCAAGGUUAAAACUCAAAUGAAUUGACGGGGGCCCGCACAAGCGGUGGAGCAUGUGGUUUAAUUCGAUGCAACGCGAAGAACCUUACCUGGUCUUGACAUCCACAGAACUUUCCAGAGAUGGAUUGGUGCCUUCGGGAACUGUGAGACAGGUGCUGCAUGGCUGUCGUCAGCUCGUGUUGUGAAAUGUUGGGUUAAGUCCCGCAACGAGCGCAACCCUUAUCCUUUGUUGCCAGCGGUUAGGCCGGGAACUCAAAGGAGACUGCCAGUGAUAAACUGGAGGAAGGUGGGGAUGACGUCAAGUCAUCAUGGCCCUUACGACCAGGGCUACACACGUGCUACAAUGGCAUAUACAAAGAGAAGCGACCUCGCGAGAGCAAGCGGACCUCAUAAAGUAUGUCGUAGUCCGGAUUGGAGUCUGCAACUCGACUCCAUGAAGUCGGAAUCGCUAGUAAUCGUAGAUCAGAAUGCUACGGUGAAUACGUUCCCGGGCCUUGUACACACCGCCCGUCACACCAUGGGAGUGGGUUGCAAAAGAAGUAGGUAGCUUAACCUUCGGGAGGGCGCUUACCACUUUGUGAUUCAUGACUGGGGUGAAGUCGUAACAAGGUAACCGUAGGGGAACCUGCGGUUGGAUCACCUCCUUA